rnacentral:rRNA from 1 species
AGAGUUUGAUCAUGGCUCAGAACGAACGUUGGCGGCGUGGAUCAGGCAUGCAAGUCGAACGAAUCCCAGGGGGGUAACUCUCUGGGGGAAGUGGCGAAAGGGGCAGUAAGGCAUGGGUAACUUGCCCCGGACUUCGGGAUAGCCUUCCUAACGGAUGGGUAAUACCGAAUGCCGUCACCUGGGGGCAUCCUCGGGUGACGAAAGCUCAGGCGGUCCGGGAGGGGCUCAUGUGGUAUUAUGCUUGUUGGUGGGGUGACGGCCUACCAAGGCUGAGAUGCCUAGCAGGUGUGAGAGCACGACCUGCGCCACUGGCACUGUGACACUGGCCAGACUCCUACGGGAGGCUGCAGUCGAGGAUCUUCGGCAAUGGGCGAAAGCCUGACCGAGCGACGCCGCGUGUGCGAUGAAGGCCUUCGGGUUGUAAAGCACUGUCGAGGGGGAGAAAAGGCAACCUGAUCGACCCCUGGAGGAAGCUCGGGCUAAGUUCGUGCCAGCAGCCGCGGUAAGACGAACCGAGCGAACGUUGUUCGGAAUCACUGGGCUUAAAGGGUGCGUAGGCGGGCCGUCAAGUCAGGGGUGAAAGCCUCCAGCUCAACUGGAGAAGUGCCUUUGAUACUGGCGGCCUCGAGGGAGGUAG